AGGCUUACAGUUUUGGCUAUACACUCUGCAGAGCGGACAGUGUGGCUCAGACCUCUCUUUCUCACACACGCACAUCAGUCCGAUUAAGCCUCAGACAGUUGAACCACAGACUUAUCUUGGACUGAUAAACUCGUCUCUCCUCUGUUCCCACGGUAACCUCCAUAAACUGUCAGAUAACUGGAAAUAUCAAACACACGCACACACAGUGUUGGUUACAGUACAGUGGUUAUUAUAAUCAGUUUUAACCUUAAUUCGAAAAUAAAUUAAAAACAAAAAAAAAUGAAAAAAUUUAAGUAGAAAUAGUCCAAAGAGGUAAAAAGUUCAUAUAGAGGAACAACCAAACAGGUAAAAAUUUGUGUAAUGAUAAAAAACAGCUUCCCAUAGAGGUUCACCACUCUGUGAAAGACUGUGUGAGCUAAUAGAGAGAACAGUUUCAGAAUAAUGUUCCUGAGUGUCAAAUGUGAAAGAAUUAGUGGAUUUCAUUAUCUACAGAACAUCAUAUCAUUCAAAGAUUCAGAGACUCUGGAGAAAUCUCUGUACUAAAGGGACAAGGACCAAAACCAAGACUGGAUGGUCCUGAUCUUCAGGGCCUCAGGCAGCACCGCAAAACAGACGAGACUCUGGAGUGGGAAUCAUUGCAUGGGCUCUAAAUCGUUCCAAAAACUAUUUUCUGUGAACACGGUUCAUUACUGCAUCCACAAAUGCAGCUUGUUAUCAACUCCUAGUCCAAAUCCCAGUUCUUAUGGAUUAAUUUUUACAGGCUGCCUGGAAACACCAGAGACCUGCACCUAUCCCCCACUGAACAUCCAGCGUGAACAGGAGGAAUAUUGCAGGAUGUUUGUUUGUUUUUUUUGGUAAACAAGUCUGCAUUUGUUUUAUCUGACACAGGCUGAACUUCUGCUAACUCUGAACACCUAAAUAAUGUGAAUGUACUUAGACGAACAGCGGAGUGCUGUUUAAUAUGGUGUAACUGAGAGGUUAUUACAUGACGUUCAAAUCUGAUAAACAGAUUUUUUUUUCAUGUUUUAAAAAGUUAAAGAGGAAAAACUGAAGAGGGAGGAGAAGGAGGAGGAAACAUUUGAACUGUUUUCAGAUGAAGUCGUAAAAGAGGAAAAUCUGCCCCCCACCCCACAGUCCUGAUGUGAUGGCCUGUCAGGAGACAAGGACAGAGAUGACAGGAUUAGACCUGAGACACACACACUGCAGUGAGCUGACCAGUGAGCGCUGAAGAGGCCUACAGUCCAUAGUGUCCCUCCUCAUCUUCAUCAGACCCCCUCUUCUUGCUUUGACCCAAAAUCCUGCAGACCUGCCCCCCACCCACCACAAGUGUGUGUCUGACCACAAGUAUAGGAGUUCUCAGGUGGACAGUGUGUGUGUGUAUCUGCGCGUGUGUGAUGUGAUGGCUCUUGGCACUGUGGGCUCUCCUGCCCAGCGGUCUGACUGUCAGGCUGAUCAGUGACGAAGAGGAGGAGUGAAGGACGGAGCAGAGAGUGUAGUAAUGAGUUCAGAGUGUCAGAGGCUCAUAUUAGAUUCCUGAUUCCUGAUCCGGAUUAGACCAGCCUGCAGGUCUUUGUUCUUCUGUAGAGUCUCUCUCAGUAAUGCUCACUCACAGGUUUACUCACACUGCAGGGGACACGCUCUCCGAAACUUUGGAGACUUCUCCUCUUCCUCCUUCUUCAACACCAGAGAUGGUCAGUGCUCCUUCAGUUUCAGGGACUCAGGUACAACGUUUACCUGCACACAUAAAACAUACACACCAAACAGCCUUCUAAACUACAACAACAACACACUACAAAGAACCGCAGAUUACCAGACAUAUUAGCUACUCAACUCAGACUGUCCAAAAUUGUUGGUCUCUGCACCAAACUCUUGGUGUCCUAUUUGAUCAGGAUCUGUCCUCAACUCGCACACACUGUAGAGUUCAAGGACAGCCUUAACUUCUUCACUAGCGUCAGACAUAUCCUCAGAUGAGCUCAGAAUGGUAAAGGCUUAGACUACUCUCAAACAAACAUUUUGGGGGUUAUGUGGUGAUAUAUAUAAUUUUUGUAAUCCUUGCAGCAGGUGAUUUUUUUUUUCUGGUGCUGAGAUUAACAACACUCAUGGAGGCAGAGUGAGGGGCGAGGAGGUUGGCAGGGUUCAGGUCCUAAACUCUCAUAUAUCUGUCGUCUUUUGGUGAUGAUGUCCUGAUGAGUUAGCAACUGUUCAUCUCAAACACCUCCUGAAACAGACCAACAGAGUGCUCUGCAGCUCACCUGACAGAGAUUCUUUCUGCUAUGAAUCAAGUGAUGAAGUUGACUAAAGUUCCCAGUGUGACCUACAGUUAACAUAAUAAAUCUGCUCUUAUGUAGGUGACAGGAGUUUGGCUGUUCAUGAUGUUCACCAUGUCAGGAUCACUAUGUAAUAUUGAAGUGACCAGCGGGGGACAGCAGAGGACAGAAAAAGAAACAGCUGCUGAAAGCGCCACAUCGGACUAAAUGAUAGGGUGAUGCAGAGAGUGCAAAAACAUACGUGAAACUGUCUUCUGCAGAACUUUCAAGUCCUAGUGUGUUAAGUACACAUUCCCAAAACACAACCUAAGC